GUUGCGUCUCACGUGGGAUUUGGUGGUAUGGGUUUGAUAGGCGUGGAUUCGGCUGAGACCUGGGUCUCCGACUGUUCAGCCCCCAGAUGUAUUGUCUCUUGGUUGUAAUACGCUGCGGCGAUUUUUACUUUUCCAUAAAAUACAUUUUGUGUCUCAGCCCCUUGCGACUGAGUCUGUGGUGCCACUCCCGUUUCCUGAUAGGAAUAGCUUAGCCCUUCCUCUAGUGGCUUGUGUCGCGCUGGUUAGAACUCUGUUGCCGCUCAGGCCUCAUUGGAUAUGAGCAGCGGCAUAUGUGAAGAGACUCAUGUCUAUCACUUGCCCUGUAGGGUUAGGAACUAACGCCGGUGUCACCAUGCUGUCGUUCUCUUUUAGAAAGAGUAACGAGAUCAAGGGCGCGUACGAUAUUGUCUACUGUUCAGGACAUUGUGUCUACAACUGCCUCGGUUCACAUCUGUUCGACUGGGAAAGAGAACCCCGUGUAUAGGGCUAUACAGUUGCCAUCGCGGCUUCCGGUGUUGGCUCAGAGUUUUCGUCGCCGGUGUGGGUUCGCAGGGGUCUCGUCGAGGGAAUUGGCUUUGACCGGGCUGUGUGCGUUCUUCUAUUACAGAACCCUCCCGAAUACGGAAUGACAUCGCGCUUCCGUCCUCUGUGAUUCUCGUGUGGCUGAUGCGAUCACUGCUAGCCCUUCCUUAAAAUAGUUUAGUCCUUCCUCUGGUGAUUCGUAUCGCGCGGGUUUUGACUAACGGUGGAUGUCCACUGGUCCCGCGGAUACAAAUAAUUGUCUAUGAACAGCAUCAUGGCUUUAUUGACGGUUGCGCAAAGCAUCUCGGGAAGGUAACGCGGCCGUUUGAGCCAUAUUAUGUCUAUGGUUUGAGCUGUCUAUUCGCCUUAUUCACCCACGUCACUUCAUUUAAACCAAAACGAGGCUGUGGGGUACGGAAGUAACGUUGUCUCGCCCAUCUGUAGACUAUAAAUCCUAUACAGGUCAAACCUUCCAUCGUUUCCCCAAAGAUCAUGUACUUUGCCGUGAAUGGAUUUAUAAAAUAAGAAGAGAUCCCGGUCGCCAUUUCAAGGUAUCAUGAUGACAGACGCCCGCUGCUGCGCUCUGUCAAUGAACUUCCGGUUUAGAGUGUACCCCCUAGCCUCGUUUUGGAUUUCAAGAUGGACGGUGAAUAAGGUCAAUAAGCAGCCAUUGUUUCUGUCAUUUAUGGUGUUUGGACAUGUGAAUUUUUUUUUUUGAGUUUUUUUAUUAGGUUUUUCCGGCGCCUGGCAUUUUCAUUCGGAGACGGAUGCGCGGCCUGCCGGGCUGGUUGGAGGUAGAUGGCCGUGGUAACGUAUGGAAGUUGCUGAAGGCCUAAUGAGAAGUUUUUUGGAAGGCGUAGGCUACGGACUUCUUGGAAGUUUGCGUGGUCCCAACAUUUCCCUGCCGGAGGCCGAACUGGCCCUCGUUUGGUUUCGCUCUAUGGACCUUUUCGUUGUCCGUGGUGGUGUUCGCUCUGCUUUGGAAGUGUUGAGCUACACGGGUCAAGAAAAUGUCCAGAAGUGGGGAGUCUCAGGUACACAGGAACACGCAGGAACGCUGGACCGCCUGGGGGAGGGGUGCGGACGGUCAGACAGGAGACGCUCCAGAGGGAGCAUCGACCGACCGAUACAUUGACCGCAUUACUGCAGAAGCUGCACCGAUCCGUCUGUCAAUCUCCCGUUCCAUCCUUACCUCACUCGUGAACAAGACCCCUAGAAAACUCCUCCACUUGAGGCAAGCACUCUUCACCAACCUGAAGUGGGCAAGCCACCCUUUUCCGACUGAGGACCAUGGCCUCGGAUUUGGAGGUACUGAUUCUCAUCCCCACCGCUUCACACUCUGCUGCAAACCGUCCCAGCGCAUGCUGAAGGUCCUGGUUUGAAGGGGCCAACACGACAACAUCAUCCGCAAAGAUGAAAUCGUGUGGUCCCCAAACCUGACACCCUCCGGCCCCUGGCUGCGCCUAGAAAUUC
ensembl:lncRNA